rnacentral:ncRNA from 2 species
AUCUUAUCCAGAGUGGCUGAGGGAAGGGCCCUAUGACGCCACAGCAACCGGUCCGCCAUCCAGGCGGAUGCUGGUGCUAACUCCUGCCCGGCGCCCCGGGCGGCACGCGGA